GGGCCGGGUAAGGUCCAGCCGUAUCCGCCUCCUUCAUGUCCCGCUGUGGGAGGGGCUCUGGAGCGCCGGGACUGUGAGAUGGCCAAUGACGGUCUGACCCGUUGGGCCGGGCCAGGUCGCGGACAACGUCGACCGUUUGUUUAAGAAGCGUGGACUCUUGUCCUGAGUGCACCGAGGCUUUCAGCCUGCGGGACAGUGGUGCGAUUUGCAUUAGAGAAAGGGAGAUGCCAUGUGCUGGCCCAGCACUCCAACAGGGGCCUGACCUCUAGGAACGGGACACUGGAGGAAGCCUAGACAUCUGAACAAAUCAAGUCAUCCAGAUCCACGGUCAGCUCCUGCCCCGACUUGGCCUUCCUCCUGCUGGGCUGGCCCACGGACCUCGGGAACCUGCCCUGGCUGUGGGUGACCUGCAGCCUAUCUCCCAGGACUAUGGAAGCCCCAUGCAGGAACAUGGUUCUGACACUUUGGGGAUUAUACCCUAAGCUUAAAGGACUGGAAAAGCCCCUGAAGUCCCGAGACCACAACCCUCCACCUUCUAAAGAUAAGACAAGUCACUGAAGGUCUCAGAACUGUGGCCCAUUCACCCCUUCCCUCAAGACAAGAGUGUGGCCAAGCAUCAAUCUCACCCCCAGAGACCAGACGGUGUCCAGGUCUUGGGCAGACGAAACCUGCUCCUUGGGGAUGGUCUUCCUGGCUGUGCUUCCAAAGGGCUGGCCUGCAAUCAGCUGGUUUUCACUUGAUCCUUUCGGGGUUUGCAUUAUAUCUGACUGAAGGAAUGAACUGGGAGAGAACAGCAGAGCCGCAGCGGAAUGUGGAAAGGCCCACGUCCAGACUGUUCCCAUUCUGAUUUAAAAGCCUGAUGAAGGAACAGCUGAACUCAGAGAAACAGCAGGUGAAAGCCCAUAAAAGCCCCAGGCUCAGCCAGAGCUGGGCAAUGUCAGGAUGACCUGCUGCAGAAAGGAGCUACCCACCUCAGGGCCUCCUCUCUGCUGAGAGCUGCAGAGAUUAUGGAAUGACCUGCCUGCAGAGAGGAGCAACCCACUCCAGGACCCCCCGUCUGCUGAGAGCUGCAGACAUGAUGGGAUUACCUGCCUACAGAAAACAGCAAACCACUCAUGGGUCUCCUAGGAGCUGAACACUCGUUAGGACACCCUGGCUGUGGAAAGGAGCUGCCCCCUGCAGGAGACUUACCUAUUCUCUUGCUCAAUAAAGCUCCUCUUCAUCCUGCUCACCCCACCACUUGUCUGCAUACCUCAUUCUUCCUAGUUGCAGGACAAGAACUCAAGACCCAUCAAGUGGCAGGGCCAAAAAAGCUGUAACACCAACAGGGCUGAAACAUGCCCCCUGCUUGCCACGUUGAAGGUGAAGAGAAGGAGGUAAGAGCUGUGGCCCUUUGGGGAGCCCAUACCUGGGAGUUCCCUGUGCCAAGACCAUGACUCCCUCUUUGGGGCCUUGCAGUUCCUGGCAUCUCCAAGCUUCUGGAUGCCACUGUGUUCCCCAGUGCCAGCUGUGGAAGCCGCUUGUGGUGCACCUGGUCUGGCCACAGCCUUGCAGAGAGCUGGUGCCUGUGCUGGCACCUGGAGCUGCCUGCCCUGGCACCUGGAGCUGCCUGCCCCACUGCAGCAGCCAGUAUAUCUGACUGUGGGCAGUGGCCGGACCCCAUGCUCACUUGCACACCUCUCACCAUUUCGUGCCUGACUUGCCCAUGGCAGGCUCAGGACCCAGGUCGGUAGCAUGAGCCAAGCACAGCCUGCGAGGCUGUGGGCAAAAUGAACCCAGGGGGCCUGAGCAAAACUCAGGCAGAGGCACCACUGGCUGCAAAGUUUUUCAGCCAGAAAAAUGACAACCAAAGAUCCUGUAACACUAAUAUUGAUAUAUAUGUUCAAUUUACUCCCAAUCAAAAUUCCUUAAUACAUUUAAAACAGCUGCUUCAAAAUAUUUUGUGAGCUGAUUCCAACAUCUGAAUGAUCUCAAGUCAACUUAUGGUGACUGCUUUAUUUUUUGAUUAUGAGUCUACGCUUCAUUUUUUCUUUCCAUAUUUAUAUUAAUACUGGACAUUGUGGAUGAUACAGAGAUUUUGAUUUCUAUAUCUUCCUCCAUAAAGUGUUGGUUAUUUUUCUGGCAGGUAAACUACUGUCAAAUCACUGUAACUUGAGGAGUUUUGGUGUUUCACCUUGCUGAACAGGUGUAUGGAAAGCCCAAGUCGUUUGGUAAACCUCUCAACUUUUGACAGGCCACAAACUCCAAACUGGAUCUCCUGUGGUAGGCAGUAGGUAAAGUUCCUGCACAGUUCUUUCAGCCCCCAGCUGUUGUUGGUGAGCCCCCUGAAGUCUCCCCUGUGCUUGUGCAAUUUGGGAUUGGCCAAGGAUUAAAGGGUGUCUAUAAGCUAAUCUGGGGACUUCCUCUGAGGCUGUCUUCAUUCUAGGAUUCCCCUCUUUAUAUUUCAGCCACUCUGGCAGCACCAACUUCAUCUCUUGACACCACAUGCUAAUAAUACUGUUUGAGAUGUCACAUGAACUGGAAAGUACCUCAGGGGAAAAGUAAUCUAAAAAUGGUCUCAUCGAGGGAGUGUGGUUCACUUAUUUCAAGAGUUCAAUCUUCUUGUUUCUUUCCACAUUUUGUCACGCUCCAAUAUCUUCAAAUAAUUGGUUUUUAAGAAAUAUUAUGUCCAGAGCUUGUAAUUGUUAUCUGUGGCAGUGUGUCCAGAGUCGGUUCCUUCCGGUGGGUUCUUGGUCUUGCUGACUUCGAGAAUGAAGCUGCGGACCUUCGCAGUGAAAUGUUACAGCUCUUAAAGGUGGCAUGGACCCAGAGUGAGGAGCAGCAAGAUUUAUUGUCAAGAGUGAAAGAACAAAGCUUCCACAGCGUGGAAGGAGACCCAAGGGGGUUGUUGCUGCUCGCUGGGAUGCCAGCUUUUAUUCUCUUAUUUGUCUCCACCAUGUCCUGCUGAUUGGUCCAUUUUACAGAGCACUGAUUGGUCCAUUUUACAGAGCGCUGAUUGGUCCAUUUUACAGAGUGCUGAUUGGUCCAUUUUACAAACCUCUAGCUAGCCAUAGAGCACUGAUUGGUGCGUUUUUACAGAGCACUGACUGGCGUACUUUACAAACCUCUAGUUAGCCACAGAGCACUGAUUGAUGCAUUUUACAAUCCUAGCUACAGAGUGCUGAUUGGUGCAUUUUACAAUCCUCUUGUAAGACAGAAAAGUUCUCUAAGUCCCCACCCGGCCCAGAAGUCUGGCUUCACCUCUCAGUGAGGAGGGGUAUAGUUAGUCUAAAAAAGUUUUCUCACCAUUAUAAGAAGCAAAACUUGCCUCAAAUUUUUUUGAACAAUUAUUGAAGAGAAACAAAAAUAUUCUCUCUUAAUGAAGUGCAAUGAAUAUUCUUCAUCACUAUCAAAACACAGAUUACAUGAUAAACAACGUAAGAAUUAUCAAGUUAGCUUAUAAUACAUGUGCUACUGAUAACUUUACCCCUAGUUGAGACAUUUUUGAACCCAGAGAACUCAUUCAAAUAAUCUUGACUUCUCCAUGUGAGAUCUCAAGAUUCUGUGACAAGAGAAUUAAGAAAAAGUUUCCAGUUAAAUCUAGGAUCUCUCAGUAUCAUAGCACUAUUGUUAUUUCCAGACUAUUGCAAAAUAAUAAUGACGAUAAUGCAUAGCCAGUGUUUAAUAUAUUUCACAAUGUAGAAUCCUCUUUAAAAUCAUGUAAUAAAAUAUAAUUGGUUAUCAUGUAUUAUUCUAAUUUAGUGUUUCAAUGCAAGUAAUUUUAUCUAUAGUUUGUGUAUUUACUUUCAUAAAUUAAACGGGUCUGUGGUUCUUACCUUUGGGUUAUCUUUGUCAGAUUUCUCUAUGACACUAGUGCUAGCUGCACAAAAUGAUGACGCUUACUUUCCUAUUCUCUGCAAGAGUUUAGAUAUUAGAAAAAUCAUUCAUUCUUUGAAGAGUUGAAACAUUGCACCUAUGAGACUGUCUGGCUGUUUUUUUUCCUAAGAGUUAGUUAUAUGAUGGGUUUUUAUUUUUAUUUUUUUUGUGUGCUAAACACCUUAUAUGCUUUAUUUCACCUAAUUUUGUCAGUCUUUUUUUUUUUUAUAUACUUUAAGUUUUAGGGUACAUGUGCACAUUGUGCGGGUUAGUUACAUAUGUAUACAUGUGCCAUGCU
rnacentral:lncRNA from 10 species